rfam:Basidiobolus meristosporus CBS 931.73 K493scaffold_9, whole genome shotgun sequence.
GCUUGCAUAGCUCAGUUGGUUAGAGCAUGGUGCUAAUAAUGCCAAGGUUGCAGGUUCAACCCCUGCUGUGAGCA